AUUGAACGCUGGCGGCAUGCUUUACACAUGCAAGUCGAACGGUAACAGGCCGCAAGGUGCUGACGAGUGGCGAACGGGUGAGUAAUGCAUCGGAACGUGCCCAGUCGUGGGGGAUAACGCAGCGAAAGCUGCGCUAAUACCGCAUACGAUCUAUGGAUGAAAGCGGGGGACCGUAAGGCCUCGCGCGAUUGGAGCGGCCGAUGUCAGAUUAGGUAGUUGGUGGGGUAAAGGCUCACCAAGCCAACGAUCUGUAGCUGGUCUGAGAGGACGACCAGCCACACUGGGACUGAGACACGGCCCAGAGUCCUACGGGAGGCAGCAGUGGGAAUUUUGGACAAUGGGCGCAAGCCUGAUCCAGCAAUGCCGCGUGCAGGAAGAAGGCCUUCGGGUUGUAAACUGCUUUUGUACGGAACGAAACGGCUCUCUCUAAUACAGGGGGCUAAUGACGGUACCGUAAGAAUAAGCACCGGCUAACUACGUGCCAGCAGCCGCGGUAACAC
rnacentral:rRNA from 1 species